AUAUAUAUAUAUAUAUAUCCCAAGGCUAUGGCCUAGCUUACUAAUAAUCUUUUUUAUUUUAAGGAAGUUCAAAAUAUACAUUGGAUGUUCAUCAAUCAAUGAUUGUUACAGUUUUACUUGGAUUCAUAAAACAGGACGUUUUCUUUCAGAAGAAAGAAGAGGUGAUGGCUACAAACUGGGGCAGAGAGAAAUUGAAGGCAGCAGGAAGACAAUAAGCAGAAGGAGCAGAAAGAAAGCUUUCUAUGUUCCUGUAGAACUCUCCCAGGUUGCCCUGGGGUGA
rnacentral:lncRNA from 12 species